AGUGAACGCUGGCGGUAGGCCUAACACAUGCAAGUCGAACGGCAGCACAGUAAGAGCUUGCUCUUACGGGUGGCGAGUGGCGGACGGGUGAGGAAUACAUCGGAAUCUACUUUUUCGUGGGGGAUAACGUAGGGAAACUUACGCUAAUACCGCAUACGACCUACGGGUGAAAGCAGGGGAUCUUCGGACCUUGCGCGAUUGAAUGAGCCGAUGUCGGAUUAGCUAGUUGGAGGGGUAAAGGCCCACCAAGGCGACGAUCCGUAGCUGGUCUGAGAGGAUGAUCAGCAACACUGGAACUGAGACACGGUCCAGACUCCUACGGGAGGCAGCAGUGGGGAAUAUUGGACAAUGGGCGCAAGCCUGAUCCAGCCAUACCGCGUGGGUGAAGAAGGCCUUCGGGUUGUAAAGCCCUUUUGUUGGGAAAGAAAAGCAGCAGGUUAAUACCCCGCUGUUCUGACGGUACCCAAAGAAUAAGCACCGGCUAACUUCGU
rnacentral:rRNA from 1 species